UAUGUACUCCCUCCGUCCCAUAUUAAGUGCCGAAAUAUUACAUGUGUCUAGACAAUUUUUAAGUAUAGAUACAUCCAUAUUUGAGCAAAUCUGAGUCUCUUAAUAUGGGACGGAGGGAGUACUAU
rfam:Brachypodium distachyon strain Bd21 chromosome 3, whole genome shotgun sequence.